rnacentral:tRNA from 1 species
GGGUUUUUAGCUCAGUUGGUUAGAGCACCUCACUUUUAAUGAGGGGGUCGUUGGUUCGAGUCCAACAAGACCCA